GUGCUAUCAGUGUAGAUAUCGAGGCUGGGCUUGAACUCCUCAACUGUGAGAUCAUGACCUGAGCCUAACUCAAGAGUCCGAUGCUUAACCGAUUGAGCUACCCAGGCGCCCCAUUUAUUAUCGUUCUUAUAUCAAGAAUGCUCUGUCAUCUCCCGAAACCUCAUGUCUGAACCUGUGUUCCAACCGGCCUUAAUAGGCCCUCUGUUUGCUACGAAGAACACGUUUUAUCAUUGGUCAAAUCUGGAAAACAAAUCCCUGGUCUAAAUUUCUGGAUUCUAAGCCCAAAUCCUCUAAUGUUCAGAGGCCGAGGGCUUUGAGAAGGAGAAGAGAUGGAAGGCGCCCCGGAAGGAGACAGUAGAGCACAGUGAUUGAAAGCACAAGCAUAGGAAUCAGUUUUAUGCUCUGCGAUCCUGGACAAGGAGCAGUUUUUCUGAACCUGUUUUGUCACCUGUAAAAUGAGUGAAGGCUUAGAUAUUGCGGUUUAUGAGAAAUAUGUAUGUGGUCAUUUGAAUAACCAAAUGCACCUUAUGUAUUUCAUCUUCAUUCACAGUUUCAGGCUCACAGCCCCUAAAACCCUUGGAAUUUCCUAAGUGAAGAGAGCUUAAAAGGUGUCUUGUUAUGUUAAUGAGGUCACUUUUGGAAAACCCCAGGGUAGCCUAAAGAUGGGAGCUGGUUGCCAGGGGAACCAACCAAGUGAUGAAAGGGUAGGGACUUUUAGCCCCACCCCCUGACUCAGGGGAGGGGAGGGGCAGGGGGUGAAGCAGCCAAUGACCAAUAACUUAAUGUUGCUUCCGUUAUGAAGCCUCCCAUAAAAACCCAAAAAAGAGGGUUUCGGAGACCUUCCGGUUGGUGACCACGUGGAGCGGCGGGGAGAGUGGCGGCCUGGCGAGGGCAGGGAAGCUGGGGGGAAGCUGCCCGCCCGCCCUGCACCCCUCCUCCCCGGUAACGCGCCCGCCUGGCCGUGUUCCCGAGUCCUAGCCUUUCUGACUCACCCCGCGAUCUGGUAAGGAAGCCGGUUUUCUAAGUUCUGUGAGCCGCUCCGGCAUCUUACUCGGACCCAAGGAGGGCGCUGUGGGAACCUUUGCCGCGGGCAGUCCAAGAUGGCAGCAUAGGAGGAUCCUGAAUUCACCUCCUUGUAUGAACAUACCGAGUCUACAGCUCCACGUGGAACAGUUCCCUCUGAAAACCAGAUGAACAACUUCUUCUCAACAAACAAUAGAAGGGCCGCAUCGGGACAGACUCCAUUCAUCAAUGGCUUGGUAUUUACCCACAAUUGGUAAAGCAAGUGCGUAUGAACGUGAUGGAGAGAGGGGGAAAUACUGCUUGCUGAGCAACUUCUAUUUAAUCCAGCACGAUCCUCUAGACAAUUCACAUCUAUCAACUCAUGACCCUCAUGAAUUUGCAUGGUUGAGGUUCGUAGAUCCUUUCAUCACAUGAGAAAACAGUAAGUCCGAUGUAUUAUGUGAUUAGAUCACGUUUAUACAGCUAGUAAGUGCGAUAGCAUUAAGUGAGCCGGAGUCGCUUCAAUGCCAAAUCCUUUGAUCUUUCCGUUGUAUUGACAUCUCUACAGUGUAUUCAGUAGAACGGGUGUUUCAAUAGGGAAAAGAUUUGUUGACCAAACGAGUUUUGAAAGUGUUGUAUAUUAUGAU